UUUUUCCUAGCUAGUCUGCACAGUUCUACUGGAGUUUCCCAAACGCUCCUCACUGUGGCUACAUUUGUGAACAAAGUGCUGUGACUUCUGUUAAAAGGAAUAAUGAAGUCUAACAUCUGUUCAAAUUCAAAUGCAGCCAUUCCCCCUUCCUCAAGAACUGGACCGUGAUGUGAAUUCAUUUUUGGAUGGGGGCAACUUCCUGCAGCCAGCUGGGAUUGUAUCAGGAGUUGGGCACUGAAGGUAAACUUCUUGUAGUCAAUUAUGGACACAAUGAUUGCACGUAGUUCUCCCCUCCUUGAACACUUAGUGCUGCUGGAACAACUUGUAAAGAAUAGGAGUGCUUGAUGACAUUUACCAGGCCUUGCUACUGUGAAGACUGAUCACAGUCAUGCCAUUAAAAUGAAUAAUAACAUUUAAA